rnacentral:rRNA from 1 species
GCUACGGGGGGCAGCAGUGAGGAAUAUUGGUCAAUGGGCGCGAGCCUGAACCAGCCAAGUAGCGUGAAGGAUGACUGCCCUACGGGUUGUAAACUUCUUUUAUAAAGGAAUAAAGUGAGGCACGUGUGCCUUUUUGUAUGUACUUUAUGAAUAAGGAUCGGCUAACUCCGUGCCAGCAGCCGCGGUAAUACGGAGGAUCCGAGCGUUAUCCGGAUUUAUUGGGUGUAAAGGGAGCGUAGGCGGUGCGUCAAGUCAGGUGUGAAAUGCCGCAGCUUAACUGCGGAACUGCUUUGGAAACUGGCGGUCUAGAGUGCAGGAGGGGUAGGCGGAAUUCCUGGUGUAGCGGUGAAAUGCGGAGAUAUUAGGAGGAACACCGGUGGCGAAGGCGGCUUACUGGACCGUAACUGACGUUGAGGCUCGAAAGCGUGGGGAGCAAACAGGAUUAGAUACCCUAGUAGUC